rnacentral:tRNA from 1 species
GCCCGGUUAGCGCAGCGGUAGCGCAUCUGCCUUCUAAGCAGGUGGUCGUGGGUUCGAUCCCCACAUUGGGUG